rnacentral:tRNA from 2 species
UCCGGGGUCGUCUAACUGGCAGGACAUGGGACUUUGGCUCCCAGAAUCGUGGUUCGAAUCCACGCCCCGGAACCA